ACGAAGGGGGCUAGCGUUGCUCGGAAUGACUGGGCGUAAAGGGCGCGUAGGCGGUUUGUACAGUCAGAUGUGAAAUUCCCGGGCUCAACCUGGGGGCUGCAUUUGAUACGUGCGGACUUGAGUUCGGAAGAGGGUCGUGGAAUUCCCAGUGUAGAGGUGAAAUUCGUAGAUAUUGGGAAGAACACCGGUGGCGAAGGCGGCGACCUGGUCCGAUACUGACGCUGAGGCGCGAAAGCGUGGGGAGCAAACAGGAUUAGAUACCCUGGUAGUCCACGCUGUAAACGAUGUGUGCUGGAUGUUGGGCGACCUAGUCGCUCAGUGUCGUAGCUAACGCGAUAAGCACACCGCCUGGGGAGUACGGCCGCAAGGUUG
rnacentral:rRNA from 1 species